CCUACGGGAGGCAGCAGUGAGGAAUAUUGGUCAAUGGGCGGGAGCCUGAACCAGCCAAGCCGCGUGAAGGAAGAAGGCGCCAAGCGUCGUAAACUUCUUUUGUCGGGGAACAAAGGGCGCCACGUGUGGCGUUGCGAGUGUACUCGAAGAAAAAGCAUCGGCUAACUCCGUGCCAGCAGCCGCGGUAAUACGGAGGAUGCGAGCGUUAUCCGGAUUUAUUGGGUGUAAAGGGUGCGUAGACGGCAGCGCAAGUCUGAAGUGAAAUCCCAGGGCUUAACCAUGGAACUGCUUUGGAAACUGUGCAGCUGGAGUUGAUGAGAGGUAAGCGGAAUUCCUAGUGUAGCGGUGAAAUGCGUAGAUAUUGGGAGGAACACCAGUGGCGAAGGCGGCUUACUGGACUGGAACUGACGUUGAGGCUCGAAAGCGUGGGGAGCAAACAGGAUUAGAUACCCGGGUAGUC
rnacentral:rRNA from 1 species